rnacentral:lncRNA from 1 species
UAAUGCCUAAAUCUAGAGUUUGGGUUAAUUUUCUCAGCAAUUCCAGAAAACAAGUGUAGAUGGGACCUUUGGAAGUCAUCUAGUUUGUCCCCUGUCCCACAGCUGCAGCAGCUGGAUGGAUAUUGUUGCUCCUAAAGCAAGAACACCAGGUAUAUUUUUUUAAACAGCGUAGGCUGAUUUGGGGCAUAAGCAGACAGCAAGGGAGGGUAUCUUGUUGCUAAUGGAAAAAGAAGUAGAGAUGCUGCAAGGCAAAUUACUGAACACACCACAUAUAUUUCUGUGACCUCAGCCUAAAUUUGCUUCCCCUGCCCCCUUCUCCCUCCUCCUCCCCACAAAUGUUAAGAGCAGUUACAGCUUUUUGUACAUUCCAAUAAAAAGGAAGUUUCCCUAGGGUAACCACUUAAUAAGCAAAAUAUGAAAAGCACAAUAAAAAUAAUGGGAGAGAUGGAAAAAAAAAAGCUGACUGGUUUUACUUUUAACAAUGAAGGAAAAGAACUGAAGGGAAGCAGAGGAAUAUAGGGAUAAAAACCCUAUGAAUUUUUCAGGGUGUGUGACACCAAGAGCUUUGGAAAAGGAGUAUGUUGUGCAAUCCCAGCACAGAUUAGCAUGAAGAAUAGCACAGAAAAGAUAUUGUGCCUUGCCUUACAAGUUUUACUGCCUUGCAAAAGUCAUGCACUGUGCUCAAGAGCUACUGCCAGCAUCGUCAUGAUGACCUGUUUGUACUUUCACUGAUACAGAACAUUAAGCUGAAGCAGUAAAAGGAAAUCAAGAAGAAGAUAAUACAGGUUCUACAUCAGGAGAUUCAUAAGACCACAGGCUCAUUUUCAAGGAGCAUGGAUGACUCUCAGUCACUGCAGAUGUUUAAAAGCUGAAGUUGUGGAGGUAGUGCUUAACACUAUGGCUCUUUGUCCUCCUCAUGGAAAAAUCCAGAUGGAAAGAAGUGUGGUUCACAGGGAAAUGAUCAUGUAAGUGGAAUUAAUCUUUCAGAUACUGUAAUGUGAAAUCUGAUCUUCCUUUUUGUUAAGAAGACCCAAUCUGUGUCUCUACGU